rnacentral:misc_RNA from 1 species
GAUGAAGAACGUAGCGAAAUGCGAUAAGUAAUGCGAAUUGCAGAAUUCCAGUGAGUCAUCGAAUCUUUGAACGCACAUUGCCCCCUUUGGUAUUCCGAAGGGCAUGCCUGUUCGAGCGUCAUUAUCACCCCUCAAGCCCUCGGCUUGGUGUUGGACGGUUUGGUGGAGGCCCCCUCGGGGGCUCCUGCCCCUCCCAAAGACAAUGACGGCGGCCUCGUUGGACCCCCGGUACACUGAGUUCUUCACGGGACACGUAUCGGACACAUGAGUUUACGGGACACGGUCUGCCUCCCCUCAGGGAGAAUCUUUCUAAGGUUGACCUCGGAUCAGGUAGGGAUACCCGCUGAACUUAAGCAUAUCAAUAAGCGGAGGA